GUGUGUGUAAUUUAAAAAAAAUAUCAAGCCGUGACCUUGAUAAUAGGAGCCCUCCUCACACACC
rnacentral:tRNA from 1 species